rnacentral:rRNA from 1 species
AUUGAACGCUGGCGGCAUGCCUUACACAUGCAAGUCGAACGCGAAAGAGGGGCAACCCUUGAGUAGAGUGGCGAACGGGUGAGUAAAGCAUCGGAACGUAUCCAGUAGUGGGGGAUAACCCAUCGAAAGAUGGGCUAAUACCGCAUACGCACCGAGGGGGAAAGUGGGGGAGCCGCAAGGACCUCACGUUAUUGGAGCGGCCGAUGUCCGAUUAGCUAGUUGGCGGGGUAAGAGCCCACCAAGGCGACGAUCGGUAGCUGGUCUGAGAGGAUGAUCAGCCACACUGGGACUGAGACACGGCCCAGACUCCUACGGGAGGCAGCAGUGGGGAAUUUUGGACAAUGGGGGCAACCCUGAUCCAGCCAUGCCGCGUGAGUGAAGAAGGCCUUCGGGUUGUAAAGCUCUUUCGGCCGGGAAGAAAUCGUAUCAGCUAAUACCUGGUGCGGAUGACGGUACCGGCAUAAGAAGCACCGGCUAACUACGUGCCAGCAGCCGCAGUAACAC